rnacentral:rRNA from 1 species
AUUGAACGCUGGCGGAAUGCUUUACACAUGCAAGUCGAACGGCAGCACGGACUUCGGUCUGGUGGCGAGUGGCGAACGGGUGAGUAACAUAUCGGAACGUAUCCAAUAAUGGGGGAUAACUAAUCGAAAGGUUGGCUAAUACCGCAUACGCCCUACGGGGGAAAGCUAGGGACCUUCGGGCCUGGCGUUAAUGGAGCGGCCGAUAUCUGAUUAGCUAGUUGGUGGGGUAAAGGCCCACCAAGGCGACGAUCAGUAGCUGGUCUGAGAGGACGACCAGCCACACUGGAACUGAGACACGGUCCAGACUCCUACGGGAGGCAGCAGUGGGGAAUUUUGGACAAUGGGCGCAAGCCUGAUCCAGCCAUUCCGCGUGAGUGAAGAAGGCCUUCGGGUUGUAAAGCUCUUUCGCAAGGGAAGAAAACUUAGCCUCUAACAUUGGUUGAGGUUGACGGUACCUUGAUAAGAAGCACCGGCUAACUACGUGCCAGCAGCCGCAGUAA